rnacentral:misc_RNA from 1 species
GUGAAUCAUCAAAUUUUUGAACGCAAAUUGCACUCUCUGGUAUUCCGGAGAGUAUGCCUGUUUGAGUAUCAGUUUAAAUAAAAAUCGGUUUGUUUGCUUCCUUUCGUGGUUACGCACCGUAGUUGAGUCGUCUUGCCUUCGGUUAAGUGACCGAAAAUGGUGCAUGAUGUUUUCGAACGUAUUUAACUGAUUUACGUACGUUUGCGAUAUCUAAUACUUGGUGUGAUCAUCCUCAUGAUUCUCGCCGAUACUUUUUCAU